AAAAUGAGGAGGACUCACCGAGUGUGAAGAGUCCUUCUGGUGAUUGCAGCUGAGAGCACACUCACGACGUUCUGCAAGGAUUCUCUGAUUAUGAUUCUGAAGGGAAAAGCGAUGGAAUGGACAGCAGAGAUUGUAAUUUUCUUUAUCUUGAAUUACGGAAGAAAGUAUCUAGGACAGAAAUCCACGACAAGUCCUUGGAACCAGCAGAUCUCUUCGUUCACGGAGACGUUGACGUAUUCUCUAUUGAAGAAGAUUCUUACCUUCUUACUGGACAAGGUUUUGUCAGUUCUGCGUGACUGGAUUGUCCGGGAGACUCUGAGGAAACUGAUGUCACAUGUUUUUCCAAAGAAGAUGUUUCUGGAACCAACAACUGUGAUUGUGGUUUGAGGACUUCUGAGAGUUCCAGUACAGGAAAUAAGCAGAACAUCAGCUGGAGGCUAAACGGAUCCAGACUUCACUCUUCACUUCCCUUCCUAUUCAGUCUAUUGUGCCUGCUGACUGAGAAGCUUGGCUGGUAUGUGAGCAAAUAAACGGAACUAUUCAGAAGGAGAUGUUGACAUAUUCUGUAUUGAAGAAGAUCCUUAUCUUCUCACCUGACAAGGUUUUGUCAGUUCUGUGUGACUGGAUUGUCCGGAAGACUCUGAGGAAACUGAUGUCACAUGUUUUUCCAAAGAAGAUGUUUCUGGAACCAACAACUGUGAUUGUGGUUUGAGGACGCCUGGGAGUUCCGGUAUGCGAAAUAAGCAGAACAUCAGCUGGCGGCUGAAGGGAUGCAGCCUCCACUCUUCACUUCCCUUGCCAUUCCAUCUAUUGUGUCUGCCUGACUGAGAAGCUUGGCUGGUAUGUGAGGAAAUAAACGGAAUUAUAAACAAGGAGAUUGUUUCUCAUCUACUUCAUUCUGUUGUGGCUUUUCUAUUUUGGGGUUCAGGGUGUGUGACAAGGACCAAGGAGAUGAAAGGUUUCAUGAUGGAGAAAGCCCAGGCAAUCAGAUUGAAGAGCUAUCCACAGGGAAUCUUGGCUGCUGAGGGGCUGCACCCUGCAACGGACUGACCAUAUGACAGAAAAGGGUUUUAAAGGCUCAACUUCUGGACUGAGAACCCAGAGUAAUUUGGGAACCUCCUCUGUGAGGAGAUAUGAAAGCUGGGAAUCAUGACAUCCCUAGGAAUGGAAGGCACAUUUCCUGAUGGAAGGGGUGCUUUGGAAAACAGGAGCAGAGUAGACACAGCAGCCUUGUGGAUACGGGUGGGCAGCAUGCAUGGGUGAUGUGAACGUGGAGUGUUUGUGAU
rnacentral:lncRNA from 1 species